GCGCCAUUUUAAGUUGGACUUAAUCGAAAGUCGUCACAAUAUUUAUUGCUCUUUCUUACAGUUGAUCCUCGGUGUGGUAAACAUUGUAUUUUUAUGCAUACUACAUAACAUUCAUCGCGUAAGCCCGGCACAUUCGCCACAAGGACUACCGGAAGUAUCACUACCGGAACCUUGUCGACUCGAACGAAGUUUGCUCUCAGCUUCAGCGAUGCUCGGGAAGUAUCGUUGUUUAUGCCACCUAGGAGUUUUGGACC